UUGAGCGGAGAUAUAUGGAGCUUGCUUUAUAUAACUUAGCAGCGAACGGGUGAGUAACACGUAGAUAAUCUAUCCUAUACUGGGGGAUAGCCCGAUGAAAGUUGGAUUAAUACCGCAUAUAGCUAUAUAGUUGCAUGAUUAUGUAGUGAAAGAUUUAUUGGUAUAGGAGGAGUCUGCGGCACAUUAGCUAGUAGGUGAGGUAAAGGCUUACCUAGGCGACGAUGUGUAGCCGGUCUGAGAGGAUGAACGGCCACAAUGGAACUGAGACACGGUCCAUACUCCUACGGGAGGCAGCAGUGGGGAAUAUUGCACAAUGGGGGAAACCCUGAUGCAGCAACGCCGCGUGAGUGAAGAAGGUUUUCGGAUUGUAAAGCUCUGUUAGCAGGGAAGAGGAAGGACGGUACCUGCAGAGGAAGCCACGGCUAACUACGUGCCAGCAGCCGCGGUAAUACGUAGGUGGCAAGCGUUGUUCGGAAUAACUGGGCGUAAAGGAUGCGUAGGCGGUUAAACAAGUUAUAUGUUAAAUAUAUAGGCUUAACCUGUAGAAAGCAUAUAAAACUGUUUAACUAGAGUGCAGGAGAGGUAAGUGGAAUUCCUAGUGUAGCGGUGAAAUGCGUAGAGAUUAGGAAGAACACCAGUGGCGAAGGCGACUUACUGGACUGUAACUGACGCUGAGGCAUGAGAGCAUGGGGAGCAAACAGGAUUAGAUACCCUGGUAGUCCAUGCUGUAAACGAUGGGUACUAGGUGUGGGUUGUGAAUAACAAUUCGUGCCGUCGCAAACGCAAUAAGUACCCCGCCUGAGGAGUACGAUCGCA
rnacentral:rRNA from 1 species